rnacentral:tRNA from 1 species
GGAGUUGUAGCUCAGUGGUUGAGCACUUACCUUGCAUGUGUGAGGCACUGUGUUCAAUCCUCAGCACCA